rnacentral:lncRNA from 1 species
AGAAAUGGGCAAAUAGUUUAUGAAAAAAAUUGUGCAAAAAAAGUAAAUAUACGAAUUUGGAAUACCAAAAACAUCAUUUGUCUUACAUUUCCUUCAAAAUAUAAACAAGAAUAAUUAUACAAAAAUUGCGAACAGGAUGAAAAACCUAACGAAACAGAAAAGAAAAAAAGAACGAAACGAAUCAGUUGAGCGAACUCAAUCUUGAUUUGGUUUCCGUGCAAGGUGGCUCUUUAGAGAGCGUCAUUCGCCACCUUUGCAUCCCCCAUGCACUUAAAGUAGACAAAAGCGUAUCUUCUCACAGAGUAUGGGUGACGUUGUUGAGUGUGCCAAAUUUGUGGAACAACUCCAUAUCUGACUCAAUCAUCUCGCCCAACAGAUUUUUAACCCGCAAACGGUUUGACAGAGUUGCAGAUUCCUCUGAUUCUUUCCUUAGCUUAUGUAGAUUCAUCGGCAGCCCCAUUAUAGCUUUAAGAAUUUGUUAGAACGAGACAGAAAGAGGGAGAUAUGAAACCCUAAAGUGUUACAAAAUCGAUUAAAAAUUAAUUUGAAAAAGAAACAUGGAAACAAAGAGAGAUUUGGGUAAGUAUAUAAACGGCAGGCAAGAAUAAAAAGAUAGGGCUAUAUGGAGGAAAUACAUACUAAAAAAUGGAAACAAUGAGAGAUUUGAGGGAAUAUAUAAACAGCAAGAAAGGAUAAAUGGAAAAUAAGAUCGGCGCGAAGAAAGAGCUCAGUGAGAGGAAAUACAUACCAAAAAACGGAGGUCAUCUAACGAACAGAAAAAAAAAAUCAAAAACAAGGAAGGUCGAGGCUCAAGAAUGGAUUUUGAGGUUUUCAAUGAGUUUAAGAAAACAAUGGAGAAGAAGAAACAGUGAGGAUGAUGAUGAUUUUAAAAUAAUUUUUUAAAAAAUAAGUAUUUUAAAAUUAUUUUCUAAUGUGGCAUAUAAGAUAAAAUAACACCACAUCAGCAUCAUUAGUCAACUAUCGGCCACACCAGCAUAUCAGUUAAAAACAGACCAAUUUGACCAAAAAAAACACUAGGUGUUAAAGCACUCCAAAAAAAAAAAUAAAGGGCCAAAGUGACCUAACAGCCAAACAUUAAAGGCUAUUUUUGGCAUUACGUCAAUGUAAUUUAUAAUUCCUUGCAAAACAAGGUUGGAGGUUAGUUACAUUUCCAAAUUCUUUGCUUGCUCGUACGUUAAAACCUAAAUACUAUCCAACGACGGACUUCUUAAAAGCAAGGUUGGGGAAUCUACCUUCUUUUACUUAGAAGAGUAUAUGGGCGAUAAAAGGAUUUCUCUAAGGACUGUGUUGGCGAGUGGAAACUGGAAAAAAUAUUCCAGCAAAAAGAGUUGCAUGGGUGCCAAGAUUUGAGGAUUACAGAUUGCAAAAUAAUGAGAAUAUUUUUGAUAAUAUGAUGGUGGUAGAUUUAAUAGAUGAUUCAUCAAGGAAAUUGAAAGAGAUGCUAAUCAAUGCUACCUUUUCUGAGCAGGAUGCAAACAUAAUUCUGAAUAUUCCUCUUACAAAAGCUCCACACGAAGACUUUCAAGCCUGGAAAGUAGAGGCUUUUGGAGACUUUUCUAUCCGUAGUGUUACAAACUUUUGUUACAACAAUCAAGAGAGGCUAGUAUAUUUUACAACCAGAUAGAACUCAUGGAAUUUUUCAAGAAACUAUGGGGAGUUAAUCUCCCAUCAAACUUGAAGAUUACAUUAUGGAGAUGCUUCAUGAAUUUUAUCCCUACACUCAGGGAUCUACACUACAGAAGAUUAACUACAAAUGCCAUCUUUCAUGUUUGUGCUAAAACGGUGGAAUCUAGAGAACAUAUCUUUCAAGAUUGUUCUGUGUCAAAACAGUUUUGGCAACAUUUAAACUGUAAGUGGCCAAACUCCAUCGGAAACAUGGAUUUUUUGAGUUGGAUUACCUGGUUGUUUGAAAAUAAUUCCUUGAAUCAGUGUCGUAUUUUUGUUUGCGGAUUGUGGGCGAUAUGGACAACAAGAAACAGAUGGGUGCAUAAGAGGAAAAAAUAACAGCGUUAGAAACAGCAGAUUUUGUAAGAAACUAUUUGAGUGAAUUGGAUGGGCUGAAGAUAUUCUUACUUGUCAAACCGAGGGAGGUAGAGAGGUGGAAACCACCGGAGAUUCCCUUUGUGAAAAUCAACUUUGAUGUCGCAUACAAUAAGGAGGAACAUAGGUCUUGCUCUGGGAUCGUUGUACGGGAUUCAAAGGGGAAGAUUUUGGGGUCUAGGGUUAUUAAAAUGUGUGUGCUCCUUCGAUUUUUGUUGCAGAGGCUAUUGCAUGUGUUCAAAGGCUUCAAAUGGGGAUGGAUUUGGGGGUUAUGGCUAUAGAGGUAGAGGGGGAUGCUCUAUCAGUAAUAAAAAAAAUAAAAAAAACUACAAAUGAAAGGGGAAGAUAAAUUGGAGAUCGGUGCUAUCAUUAAAGACUGUUUACAGUUAAGUCGGGAUUUCUAGAUAUGCAAGUUUCUAUAUGGCAAAAGAAGGAAGAAUGAAGAAUGAAGUGGCAAAUCUGUUAGCAAAAGGUUUAAGAAAUGGAGAACAUAGUAACGAAAAUGGAAGCGUACCUGAUUACGCCGUGGAGCUGGUGGAAAGAGAUCGUCCAAGGAAUGGGCUAUCUUGUUAAUGGGAGUCGUUCUACUUCUGUUUUUGCUGAAGUUGUAGGUUUUCGGGAAAAUGAAGAGGAAAGGGGUUCCCGGAAAAUGAAGAGUUUGUAGGUUUUGAAAGUUGUGAUGAUUAAUGGGAUUUAACUCAUGUUGUCUCAGGUAAUGAUUUUACUGGGUCUGGGUCGUAUCUUAUAUAUUGGCCU